UACGUAGGGUGCAAGCGUUACUCGGAAUUACUGGGCGUAAAGCGUGCGUAGGUGGUGAGUUAAGUCUGUCGUGAAAGCCCCGGGCUCAACCUGGGAAUGGCGAUGGAUACUGGCUCGCUAGAGUGCGGUAGAGGAGAGUGGAAUUCCCGGUGUAGCAGUGAAAUGCGUAGAGAUCGGGAGGAACAUCAGUUGCGAAGGCGGCUCUCUGGACCAGCACUGACACUGAGGCACGGAAGCGUGGGGAGCAAACAGG
rnacentral:rRNA from 1 species